rnacentral:rRNA from 1 species
UACGAAGGGGGCUAGCGUUGUUCGGAAUUACUGGGCGUAAAGCGCACGUAGGCGGAUAUUUAAGUCGGGGGUGAAAUCCCGGGGCUCAACCCCGGAACUGCCUUCGAUACUGGGUAUCUUGAGUUCGGAAGAGGUGAGUGGAAUUGCGAGUGUAGAGGUGAAAUUCGUAGAUAUUCGGCGGAACACCAGUGGCGAAGGCGACUCACUGGCCCGAUACUGACGCUGAGGCGCGAAAGCGUGGGGAGCAAACAGGG